CAUAGUUAUGUUAAACGAGUAUUUACCCACGAUUUAACAAUUAUCUAAAAAUUCUUCUUCAACUAUAAUUAAUUGAAACGUUUAAUAUUCCAACUAUUUUCAUUACACAAAUUGGUUCGCCUUUCACAAAGUUAUUAAGCAGUGUUUGCAGUGUUAUUUUGAUGGCGCUGAAUGGAAAGUGAAAACUGUCAAUGCCUGAGUUGGCAAUUAGUCAGUGAAAGUGUAGCAGAUGGCACGGGUCUUUCUCCCCCCUCUUUCUCGUGGUGUUUUUUUUAUGGGGCAAUUAAAGUGGCUAAACGCACAAAACACGAAAGACAUAAUAAAAAAUAAAUAAAAAUAAUUUAAGUAUGUGUCACAUAAAUCAAUGCCAAUUAAUUGUUUCGCCCGAUUGAAACUGAUUCAUGAAGUCAAAAUGAAUUGCUCAACUGAAACCUAAAAAAAAAACUUGAAUAAAAUUUUAAAAAUUUACAAAAUAAUUUUAAUAUUCUCAAAACAUUUUUAUGUCCUAAUUGGGCACUUAAUUUAUGUACCGCAGCUUUAUUUUCAAGAUAAAAAAUAUUAUGGAAAUAAUUAAAAGGUUCCCCCAAACCUAAUAGACUGCGGCGACAGGCCAGACAAAACCUGAAUCAUGCAAUUUAUCAAAUAUCAACUUGACUAUGCUUUUUUUGCAACAAAGUAUAUAUAGAGAGAAAUAUAUAAAAAAUCAGCAAGCAGCCGCAACAAUAACAACAACAACGGCGAGCGGCAAUCGAAAUACACUUGAACCAAUGACUGUAGCCGAGAGCGACCCACAAACAGAAAAACAGAGGGACUGAGAGCAUUCUGUCUCUCGGCGAGGAGAGACAUGCCCGCCGAACCGAACAUAUGUUUUAUUCACACAAUUAGUUUGCUAAAAAUGCAGGCUUAGCCACACAAAUUCGAAAAAUACAAAAGCAGCUGAGCAAAUGAGGUUUCCGAGAGGCAGUCGAGGGGUGGGGAUGUCAGCUAGACGAGACUAGACUCAGUUAACCCGGCUUAAACAAGUGCACAGGUCUCUGGUUAUGGCGAAUGGCAGCCGAGACAGCUGAGACAAGUCAAGCUCUCACGAAAACCAUAAUCCGAAUUGAAUUCCAAAUUCCAAGUUUGAGGCGACAAGCUGUACAUCACGUAGACCUUCCAAAACCCACCAAAAUCAAACUGAUUUUUUGAGCUUUGCCCCCGAGGCUCGCUUUGCACUUUCUUUGCCUCACCGCCUCAUUGGCCAACAGUGCGUAUGAGUGAUGCGAUUUUGAAUUGCACAGCAUACACUCCAUAAAAAUCAUCAUUAUCAUCACGUGAGUCGUGACUCAAUUUGUCUAAGCUCUCGCCUACAAAGGUGGAAAUAAAAGCUCGAAAAAAGCUAAAACCAAAAUCCAAAACUCUUGACAUAACAAAACAACAUUAAAUAUAAUGAGUAAUUUGUUUUCUCUAUGUAUUUUUUGAUUCUGUUUGCGUUUCGAUGUCGGCUAACCGUCGAGAGCUGUGAUUCAUGCGAAAUGGAACGACCUUGCCGGUGGGUUUAUGUCUCCAUUGGAAUGUAAAUUCAUCACCAAAGAGUUUAAAAGCAGAGGUAGGGAGAAAUCAUUACCAGAACAUUCGGGGAAUCGUUGCUGCUGACAGGUUGUUAUAUGAAUUCAUUGGAAUUUUAUUGACAGCAGUGAUCAAAGAGGGCCCCAACGCUUAUUUCACCAUUAUGUAAUUUACUGAAUCAAUUUGUUUCUCUU